CCUCGCGCUUGAGAGAUGGAGAUAACGCACACCGGUGCGUUCCGGCCUGUGUAGCAGGCUAUAUAGGUUGCUUGACAUUAAGCGCCUCAGCGUCACAGUGAUGUCAAGACGGCAACGGUACACGGUGGCAGUUCCCACCCGAGAUCAGACGGCCAGGACAACAGUGAAGGCCCUGUGGUCCCAUUGGAUCAAACCCCUGGGUUGCCCUGAGCGGAUCCUGACCAAUAGGGGGAGCGCAUUCGAGUCGGAGGUGAGUGAAGCUGCAAUGACCCAAACAACCACCAGGUGGCACUUGUGAGCAGGGUUAGGAAUGUCGACAUUUACCACCAAACAAACCAAAAGUAAAUUAAAUCCCGAAGCAAGCUGAACAUCUUUUCUGCUUUUAAUAGCCUAGCAGUCUCAAGAUAAAACUUGUUAUUGUUUAUGAACUUGUGUAUGAACUUGUUUAUGAACUUGUGGACUUGUGUGACUGGUGCUCCAGUCAUGCCUGCCAUGGUGGCUACCGACCACACCUGUGCUGGUGCUGACUACCCUCCACCAUGCCUUAGUUAUGCUGCUAUAGCAUAGCACUGUCAUGGACUUCUCAUGUGUCAUGCCGUACAACUCUCUCUCCCCUCUCCCUCUGUCUCUCUCAACUCUCCCUCCUCCCUCUCUCUCUGUCCUGUCAUUCAACUCCCUCUCCCCUCUGCCUUUUCCCUCUAUAGUAUAAUAACUUAUAUCCCCAUUUAUAUACUUAUUAAUACCAACCAUUAUGACUUAUAGUAAUACUAACACACUUAUGAUUGCCCUACCAUCGCCUGCUGUGGUUCCCUGCCAGGAUCCCUGGGCCACACAUCCUAGCGACCCAUUACCCUCCAAAAUUACUAAUGGAUUACUGAUGGACUAUUUAUUCCCUAUACUGGACUGCUUGAACCUUCUGAUACUACUAUGACUUUACUCUACUUAACUGACCCUAGGCAGAUGGGUUGGGCCCUUGAGUCGUGGAUCUGUCUGAGGUUUCUUCCUAUAUAUAUCUCCAAUUCUAAGGGAGUUUUUCCUUGCCCCUGUUGCUCAUGGGCUCUCUUUGAAGGUUUGACGCUCUGUGAAGCGCCUUGAGACAUGUGUAAUGUUUUGGCGCUCUAUAAAUAAAAUUGAAUUGAAUUUAA